rnacentral:rRNA from 1 species
GACGAACGCUGGCGGCGUGCUUAACACAUGCAAGUCGAACGAAAAAUCAUUGAAAGCUUGCAGAUAUGAUUUUUAGUGGCGGACGGGUGAGUAACGCGUGAGGACUUGUCCAAUACAGGGGGACAACGGUUGGAAACGACUGCUAAUACCCUAUAAGCCCUUGGGCAAAAGGACCAAUCCGGAAUUGGAGAGACUCUCGUCUUAUGAGCUAGUAGGGGAGGUAACGGAUCACCUAGGCGAAGACGGGUAGUCGGCCGGAGAGGGCGAACGGCCACACUGAAACUGAGACACGGUCCAGACUCCUACGGGAGACAGCAGUGGGGAAUAUUGGGCAAUGGGGGCAACCCUGACCCAGCGACGCCGCGUGAGUGAAGAAAUCCCUCGGGAUGUAAAGCUCUGUUGUGUGGGAAGAUAAUGACGGUACCACACGAGGAAGCCCCGGCAAACUACGUGCCAGCCGCCGCCGUAA